rnacentral:rRNA from 1 species
AUUGAACGCUGGCGGCAUGCCUUACACAUGCAAGUCGAACGGCAGCACGGGGCAACCUGGUGGCGAGUGGCGAACGGGUGAGUAAUGCAUCGGAACGUACCUUUCAGUGGGGGAUAACGUAGCGAAAGUUACGCUAAUACCGCAUAUUCUGUGAGCAGGAAAGCAGGGGAUAGCACGACCUUGCGCUGAUUGAGCGGCCGAUGUCAGUUUAGCGAGUUGGUGAGGUAAAGGCUGACCAAGGCGACGAUCUGGAGCGGGUCCGAGAGGAUGAUCCGCCACACUGGGACUGAGACACGGCCCAGACUCCUACGGGAGGCAGCAGUGGGGAAUUUUGGACAAUGGGGGCAACCCUGAUCCAGCCAUGCCGCGUGAGUGAAGAAGGCCUUCGGGUUGUAAAGCUCUUUCGGCCGGGAAGAAAUCGCACAGGCUAAUACCUUGUGUGGAUGACGGUAGCGGAAUAAGAAGCACCGGCUAACUACGUGCCAGCCGCCGCCGUAACAC